UACAGAGGUGGCAAGCGUUGUUCGGAAUUACUAGGCGUAAAGGGCGCGUAGGCGGCUUGGUCAGUCCCGUGUGAAAUCCCUCGGCUCAACUGAGGAACUGCACGGGAAACUGCCUGGCUUGAGUUCGGGAGAGGGAAGCGGAAUUCCGGGUGUAGCGGUGAAAUGCGUAGAUAUCCGGAGGAACACCGGUGGCGAAGGCGGCUUCCUGGACCGACACUGACGCUGAGGCGCGAAAGCUAGGGGAGCAAACGGG
rnacentral:rRNA from 1 species